UCCCUCCCCUUCUCUAAUUUCCCCCCGCAUCCAUCCACAACCCACCCCGAAUUUUCUUCAUAUAGAUAGAUUCAUCUGGCUCUCUUCUUCUCUAGAUUGCAGCGACCGGCGAUGGCACUUUGGGGGAGGCCGCCCUGCGCUCAGGCCGUGCUCGGGCCUUGGAUCCAGCGCAACAACUUGCCCCGCGAGCAGCCCCUCUUCUCCCAGAUUGCAGCGACCUAUGACGGCAGAUUGGAGCAGGCCGCCCCACCGGCCGGGAUGGGAUCCACCGCACCGACCCUCCCCGUGAGAACCCGACCCUCUUGUCUCCCCAAUUGAAACCACCAGCGACGACUCUCUAGUGCAACUGCCAGGCUUCACACAUUGGUGGCAUACAAGUCCUAAAUUGUGUUUUUGUAAGAUUCAGGUAUCUACCAAAAGGCAUCUUUUGUAGUUUAAUUAAGUCGUACUUCUGAUUUGGACUUGAAACUUCAAUUUUCAAAUUGAAGGAGGCCGCCGCACCGCCGACCUUGGAUCCAUAGCAUCAACCCGACUCGAGCACCCGACUCUCUUCUCCCCUGCAAUGGGCGAUGUCUCUCGGUGAUUUACUCAUCCUGCCCUCCUCAUGUCGCCACUGCUUGAUGUUUAGUGAUUCAGGUUCAUGCAUACUACUCGUCAUCCUGCUCUUCUAUGUAAUUUAGGAUUUGCCACAACUUGCUACGGUAAAAAGCCUGAACCUCUUGCCAAUUAACUUUUGAUAUCCUAUUGAUAGAUGUGUGUAAAACUGCACUAUUGCAUUUGUUAUAGCCAGCUAUUGUAAAAAGGCCUGAACCUGAAUAUAUGCUACUGCAGUACAGUAAGCCGUUGUGCAAAUGUUCAGUUAGCUAUCAGAUGCAUGGCCUUAGCUGAGAGAUUUCUUUUGCAGCCAUGUGCUCGUAUGGCUACUCACGCAUACAAAAGGAAACUAUAUGUUGACCAUCUGAUUGUUGAACAAUGCUGUAAUGACAAAAACUAGAUUCUCUUGAUCGCUGAAUGGUGUCAUAAUCAGAUGAACAUAAACACAUGAACUAAAGUAUGCAAGUACAAGAAGGAAGCAGCACAUCCUUGUAUCUACAUGUCCGAAUAAACUAGCUUCUGGAUGCAACUACUAUAUGUAUGCUAAAACCUGGAACUUAUGGUUCUGCUGUCCCAUAAAUAGUACUUCAGUAGUGUUGUUAAAACUGAAUAAAGACUGAGCCUGCACCUAAUUUUGACUCGCUACAGAGAUGUAUAGCCCUGCACCAGUGUACUUUUCUCUCCACUACUAGAUAAAACAGAAUUAACUUAAUCUUUUCCAUGCCUCUCGUAAUUGAUUAGCUACCCAUGAUGUUAAGCAUAUAAAGCCCACAAACAUUUUCAGUAUGCCCAGAACUUGAUACAAGUAGAUACAUGGUAAACUUCAAUUUUUGACUAUAUUAUGACAUACUAAACUGGGUAAAUCAAUCUGCUCCUAAUUUUGGAUGAGUAUAGUAAAUUUUCUGGUUUUCUAAACUAUGCCAGCAGCUACAGUAAUCAUAUUUUUUGAUGUUUUUAUUCUGAACAUUCUGUUCUUGUUUUUCAUGGUUUGUUGUCUGCUUCUUCCUGACUGUGCCCCAGCUGCAUCAUGCAUGUUGAUUGCUUCACAUGUUAGAUCGCAAUGAAUGAAAUCUUCAUUUUCUAUUUAUAUAAUCUGACAGGAACUGCUUGUUGGCAGUGUUGCCUGUUUACGUCUAUUUUACGCAAUCUAGUUCUUUUUGUCUAGCACCAAUGCGAAGCCAACUUUUAACAGGUAAGUCAAUGUAAUCAGUUAUGUUACAAGUACUCCAUUCAUAUGCUUACUUAUAGUGCAAGAAAGGGUAAAUGCUUUUCAUUAAUUUCACUUUAACUAUUACUUAUAUAUAAUAUUAGUGCAUCCUGUGUUUGUAUCCUAACUUAUCUACUUUAUUAUAUUCAGAUGUAAGCGACAGAAUAAUACAUUUGCACAUAUAAAAUGGCUGCAUCUUUUAAGGCCCAUUUCCAAACAAGUUUAUGCAGAAUCCAUUUAUCUAGUGUAGGCUGAUGGUCUUUUUGCAACUCAUUCAGUUCUGUUAUCUUUUCCAUCUUAAGUUACUAAAAUAAUGCCACCAAGCGAGAGCAUGUGAAGAGACGCAGAGGAAGCAACAUGAAGAAUUGGAUGCUGUGAAGAAGAGCGAGCAAGAGAAGAAUGAAGCAUGGCAAAAGAAGCAACAUGAGAGGAUAACGUCAUUGGUUUUCUAUUAAGGGCUCAAGCACGUCGACAAGCAACUCAACAGUCCUAGUUCAAACUAGAAGGGUCAUGAAGACCAUCCUUUUGUGAUGGAAAUAGUUGUUGAAUCAUACAUUGCAAUCAUCAUGACAACACAUGUUGUUUUUAGUUAUCUAAAUAUUGCUCUUCAACUUGACUAUUGUUGUGUCAAACUUGUGAGUUGGUGUUAUUUUGUAUUGUCAUUUUAGUUUAGAGGACAAUUAGGCUGAGAGAUUGAAUAUAUAGUAUGAUUUGUCAUCCAUUUUAUUUUAUGAUGUGAUUUGGAUCUUAACUUUUUAUAUAAUGUGAUGUGAAUUAAAUACUUACUA